ACUAGCACAUACUGAUCAUUCUUGACACAUUUUUUUAAAUUUUAUUUUCGUGAUUUACUAUUCUGGGAGAAGAUUAAGUCUGUAUAAUUAUUAUUCGAAAUUAUGAAAUCGUAUGAAAAUUUAUACAAAUUUCGUUAGGAAAGAUUAAAUGGUUUCCAAUGUAUGCAUUACGUCUGGCGUGUGUCUUAUCCGAAAGCGGAGGCGUUUAAAAGAUUUCAAGGCCGUUUUCAUCUUUUUAAACGGAACUAUACAUUUUUCUAUAUAACGUUCGAUGCAUUUUUCACUUCUCUGCAAAAACAGAAUAAGAUCCCAGUAAAAAUAAGAAGUCUGUCUCCCGAAACAAAAUAUCAUAAGAGAAACCGAUGUAUCGCGCCUGUAAAAUUCAGCAGCAUAUUUCGACUUUGGAGGGGGAAAUCUGUAAUCUGAGAAAUAUCUGGAAACAUGAGGACCUCAGACCUCCCUCAGGGUCGCACAACGUUAAUUUAGAAUUGCUUCCUUUCAUCUUCAAACAACUCACAUCUAUAUAUAAUUAUUAUAUCAAAUCAAAAAUACUUCUGUCCAACUAUGUAAUUAUUUUUACGAAUUUUAUAGCGUAGCCUUCGAACCACGUGAAAAAGACGCGCGCAGUUUCAUCGUCAAAUUGGAUUAUUCCUUGCGAGAUCUUUCGGUUACUCCCGAGGGCAGUGAAUGCCGCCAGAUUUCACGACGAAUGAGCAAAUCCGUAUCGAACGAUUCCUAACAAAUACGUAACGUCGGAAACGUGUAAUUAAACGCCUAGGCGUGA
rnacentral:misc_RNA from 1 species